rnacentral:rRNA from 1 species
UGCGUGGGCACGCCAGGGUUCAACGGAUAAAAGCUACCCCGGGGAUAACAGGCUGAUCUUGCCCGAGCGCUCACAGCGACGGCAUGGUUUGGCACCUCGAUGUCGGCUCGUCACAUCCUGGGGCUGUACAAGGUCCCAAGGGUUCGGGAGUUCACCGAUUAAAGUGGCACGCGAGCUGGGUUCAGAACGGCGUGAGCCAGUUCGGUCCCUAUCCAUUGCGCGCGAAGGAAAUUUGAGAAGAGUCGCCCUUAGUACGAGAGGACCGGGGUGAACAGACCUAUGGUGUACCAGUUGUCCCGCCAGGGGCACACGCUGGGUAGCCAAGUCUGGAAGGGAUAAGCGCUGAAAGCAUCUAAGCGCCAAGCCCACUUCAAGAUGAGAUUUCCCACUUUAUGGUAAGGCCCCUAGAAGACUACUAGGUGAUAGGUCGCAGGUGUAAAGGCAGUAAUGUCAAAGCUGAGCGAUACUAAUUGGCCGAGGGCUUACUACU